rnacentral:tRNA from 1 species
CAUGGAGUAGCUCAGUAGGUAGAGCGCCGACUUCCGCAGGACGGAUGCCGCGGGUUCGAUUCCCGCCUCCAUGG